GGAGGGAUGGCUCUGUGGUUAAAAGCACUGGCUGUUCUCCCAGAGAACCUGGGUUCAAUUCCCAGUACCCACA
rfam:Neotoma lepida isolate 417 scaffold_48, whole genome shotgun sequence.